rnacentral:rRNA from 1 species
GGCCCAAACUCCUACGGGAGGCAGCAGUGGGGAAUAUUGGACAAUGGGGGCAACCCUGAUCCAGCCAUGCCGCGUGAGUGAUGAAGGCCCUAGGGUUGUAAAGCUCUUUUGUGCGGGAAGAUAAUGACGGUACCGCAAGAAUAAGCCCCGGCUAACUUCGUGCCAGCAGCCGCGGUAAUACGAAGGGGGCUAGCGUUGCUCG